rnacentral:rRNA from 1 species
AGCGAACGCUGGCGGCAGGCCUAACACAUGCAAGUCGAACGAAGUCUUCGGACUUAGUGGCGGACGGGUGAGUAACACGUGGGAACGUGCCUUUAGGUUCGGAAUAACUCAGGGAAACUUGUGCUAAUACCGAAUGUGCCCUUCGGGGGAAAGAUUUAUCGCCUUUAGAGCGGCCCGCGUCUGAUUAGCUAGUUGGUGAGGUAAAGGCUCACCAAGGCUACGAUCAGUAGCUGGUCUGAGAGGAUGACCAGCCACAUUGGGACUGAGACACGGCCCAAACUCCUACGGGAGGCAGCAGUGGGGAAUUUUGCGCAAUGGGCGAAAGCCUGACGCAGCCAUGCCGCGUGGAUGAUGAAGGUCUUAGGAUUGUAAAAUCCUUUCACCGGUGAAGAUAAUGACUGUAGCCGGAGAAGAAGCCCCGGCCAACUUCGUGCCAGCAGCCGCAGUAAUAC